rnacentral:lncRNA from 1 species
CAAAAAGAUCAGAGUUCAUCUGAGUAAACCGCAUGAGAUCAUCAGCAGGAGAUACACUCUUCUUCUUAAGAGAACCAAUAUCCCAGACACGGACAGUCUGAUCCAAAGAUGCCGACACGACAAGGUCUUCCUUAGGAUGGAAAGAAGCACACAUAACGUAAUGAUUGUGGCCGGUCAACACAGAGAUACAAGUCCGCGACUGCCAGUUCCAAAUGCGGAUGGUCUGAUCGUCACUAGCACUCACAAUCCACGGGUUCUCGUGGUGAAACUGGACAGUGCGGAUGUAAUCGAGAUGGCCGAGGAGAGUGAAUAGGCACCUGUGCGUUUUGUGGUUCCAAACUUUAAUCUUGUAAUCGUCUCCUGCAAAAACACAAUAUGUCAAUGAGUAACGUUCUGAAAGAGUAUAACGAAGACAAUUGCAUUUACAAGUAAUAUAGAUCUGAUUUCAGCUGACUCAGUCCAAUGAUCCAAAAGAGCAUAUGUUAUACAACAAAUUAAACUUAGUAUAAGCAUUUAUCAAUACGACUACAUUGGUUGGGGGCAAAUCAACGAAACCAUCCUCUUCAACGACACCAAGCUAGAUCUAGAAAUCGAGUACACUAAGAUCCAAUGCCAAACAGACUGAUCACUGAUUAUCGAUAAUCACAAUUCUAAAAAUGGAUUUGUAGCUCAAACAAUGUUGAGAACAAAGCAUAUACCUCCGGAGACGAAGAGAGGCUGAGAAUUGUGAAAAUGAACACCACGAACAGGUCCUUCGUGCUCGUCGAAUCGAUCGAUCAGAGUACCCAUACGGUAAUCCCAGAGCUGGAUCACGCCACUGUGCAAACUGGCGAGGAUCCAUGGCCGUUUGGGGUGGAAGGUGAGGCCCUUGACUCUGUUACUCUUCGUCUCGAACUUCGUCAACAUGAUAUUUUUUUUCCAGAUCACGAAACGGAAACAGCUCUACACAAACCAGAUCAGAGAGAACGAAAGGAGAAACGAGUCAUUUUCAUAAAAUUGAAAUCGCAAACGGAUCUGGAACGCACCAGAUAGUGAGAUAGAGAUUCACCUCGGAUCGGAUCGGAUCGGAUCGGAUCAGGUCAAGGAGAGCUUCACGGUGAGGAGCAGUAGCAUUACCAGAGAGGCGUGGAUGCGAGAGGAAGAGAAACACACGAGGAUGCAAAUCGAUGGAGAAGGAGAAGAAAGUGAUCCAGUUUCUCGUCGAGUAGAUCUCGCUUCUUAAUUGGAAAGGAAUUUAAUUUUAAUUUAUUUAUGUUUUUUUUAUUCCAAGAAAAUAAAAUAUUAAAUGGGCCUAAUAUCAUUAAAAUAAAUUGGAUAUUUAUCAUAUGGGCCCUUGUUGGAUCAGGCCCAGCUCUAGAUACUUGGGACAUAAUUUGUCUCUUGUUGUCGUAAUCAGGUGGCGAAACGUAUCCCUCUGCUUCUCUCUCCUCCGUCGUCGACCUCUGAUUCCGGUGUUCUCCGUGAGCUCUCUUUUGAACCACAUUGUGUGUGAUAGUCCAACCACAUUUUCACUUGUAGUCAAAAUCGUUGGGGUCGCAAAAGGAUUGGUUUUGAUAUGUGGACUCUCUUUUGAAGUUCCUUGGAUCAAAAAAGGUUGUUUUGAUACUAAAUAAUUUAUAAAGUUUUUUUUUUUUUUUGAAAAGAUAUAGGCUUCCGGAAAAAUACCAUUCAUACGCCAGAGCUUUACUUGGCGGUCAUCUGCACCAGAGACAAUGAGAGGAAGCGUGGGAUGAAACGAAGCCCAGUUUACUCCUCUAUCAUGACCUUCGAGGACGUACUUAACUAUAGCGUCAACACCACCAAAAAGAUCAGAGUUCAUCUGAGUAAACCGCAUGAGAUCAUCAGCAGGAGAUACACUCUUCUUCUUAAGAGAACCAAUAUCCCAGACACGGACAGUCUGAUCCAAAGAUGCCGACACGACAAGGUCUUCCUUAGGAUGGAAAGAAGCACACAUAACGUAAUGAUUGUGGCCGGUCAACACAGAGAUACAAGUCCGCGACUGCCAGUUCCAAAUGCGGAUGGUCUGAUCGUCACUAGCACUCACAAUCCACGGGUUCUCGUGGUGAAACUGGACAGUGCGGAUGUAAUCGAGAUGGCCGAGGAGAGUGAAUAGGCACCUGUGCGUUUUGUGGUUCCAAACUUUAAUCUUGUAAUCGUCUCCUGCAAAAACACAAUAUGUCAAUGAGUAACGUUCUGAAAG